rnacentral:rRNA from 1 species
AGUGAACGCUGGCGGCAGGCCUAACACAUGCAAGUCGAGCGGCAGCGCGUCCGACCACCCUCGGGUGGUCGGAUGGCGGCGAGCGGCGGACGGGUGAGGAAUGCAUCGGAAUCUGCCUCGUUGUGGGGGAUAACGUAGGGAAACUUACGCUAAUACCGCAUACGACCUACGGGUGAAAGUGGGGGACCUUCGGGCCUCACGCGAUGAGAUGAGCCGAUGCCGGAUUAGCUAGUUGGCGGGGUAAAGGCCCACCAAGGCGACGAUCCGUAGCUGGUCUGAGAGGAUGAUCAGCCACACUGGAACUGAGACACGGUCCAGACUCCUACGGGAGGCAGCAGUGGGGAAUAUUGGACAAUGGGGGCAACCCUCGAUCCAGCCAUGCCGCG